GGUCUGAAUUUUGCACACGCUUUGCCUGUGGCUGCCGUGCACGCGAGGGUGCUGCUGCUGGGGUGCUGUGGUGGUGUCGGAGAGGAAAUCGGGGGGUGCAGAGCAGGAAGAUGCUGCCGAGUGGCGAAGGCAGGCGGGCACCCACGUGUCGGGCACACGAUGGGUGCAGAAGGUGCCACCCCCCCCGCCUGCCCAGCACGUGAGACCUCCGGGCACCGCGAGGCAGAGGGACCGGGGCGGGGGGAGCGCGAGGUGUGCUGGCCCUUUAAGAGAAUAAUUUCGGAGCUGGCCUACUGAGUUAUUGAUUGGCGCUAUGGCCGUGUGGAUCUGGGUGUUUCACCAACCUGCGCAAAGCGAGCGGCCAAAUUUCCUGGGCUGCAGCCGCCCCUGUCCAGCGUCGCCGCUGCCCCCUGAGCCCGUCCUGCUCGUCACACCGAUGGGCUGCUCUGGGAGCAGGCAUCCCGGGAGGGUUUCCUCUGCUGCUGCCUGGGCAAACUGAGACAUCCUCUGAGCAUCCCCACGUCCCUGAGCAUCCUGCAUCUCCGAGCAUCCUGCAUCCCUGAGCAUCUCCAUAUCCCGCAGCAUCCCGCAUCCCGCAGCAUCCCACGUCCCUAAGCCAGCAGGUCCCAGGCACGGGGCCGAGGGCGCAGCAGGAGCCCCGCAGGGGUGGAGGGCUGCGGAGGGUGACGGCGACGUAGCACCUACUCUAAUGGGAUCCUCUCCACAAGUAAUUAAGCCUCGGCUAAUGCUAACCGUAAUGUGAUGUAUGUAUGCCUUUAACUAAUCAUUUAUUAGCCUCGUUGAUGGUUUGUCAAUAUUAAUUCAUUUAUUUAAACAACUCCGAGCUGUAAUGAAGAUGUUUGCUUUAAGGGGGAAAAAAGAGAUGGAGCUGCCA
rnacentral:lncRNA from 1 species